rnacentral:rRNA from 1 species
UACGUAGGGUGCAAGCGUUAAUCGGAAUUACUGGGCGUAAAGCGUGCGCAGGCGGUUUUGUAAGUCUGUCGUGAAAUCCCCGGGCUCAACCUGGGAAUUGCGAUGGAGACUGCAAGGCUAGAAUCUGGCAGAGGGGGGUAGAAUUCCACGUGUAGCAGUGAAAUGCGUAGAGAUGUGGAGGAACACCGAUGGCGAAGGCAGCCCCCUGGGUCAAGAUUGACGCUCAUGCACGAAAGGCGUGGGGAGCAA